rnacentral:rRNA from 1 species
GAUGAACGCUGGCGGCGUGCUUAACACAUGCAAGUCGAACGAAGCACUUUAUUUGAUUUCCUUCGGGACUGAUUAUUUUGUGACUGAGUGGCGGACGGGUGAGUAACGCGUGGGCAACCUGCCUUGUACAGGGGGAUAACAGUUGGAAACGGCUGCUAAUACCGCAUAAGCGCACAGCAUCGCAUGAUGCAGUGUGAAAAACUCCGGUGGUAUAAGAUGGACCCGCGUUGGAUUAGCUAGUUGGUGAGGUAACGGCCCACCAAGGCAACGAUCCAUAGCCGACCUGAGAGGGUGACCGGCCACAUUGGGACUGAGACACGGCCCAAACUCCUACGGGAGGCAGCAGUGGGGAAUAUUGCACAAUGGGCGAAAGCCUGAUGCAGCGACGCCGCGUGAGCGAAGAAGUAUUUCGGUAUGUAAAGCUCUAUCAGCAGGGAAGAUAAUGACG